GAAAGGUGACAGGUGACACAGAAGCCUCGAAAAGAUGAGUGCUCAGGCAAGCCAAUCUGGUCCGCCGAUGCCAUAUGUAGCCUCCAUCCCAGGGGGCCUGCAGCUAUCCAAGGUCAUCACUGUGUCAGGCACUGUGCUGCCCAAUGCUGAGAGGUUCCAUAUCAACCUGUGCGCUGACACAAACAUCGCCUUUCAUCUGAACCCUUGAUUUGGUUCGAACACUGUGGUCCGAAACUCUAAGAUCAAGGGCUCCUGGGGAUCAGAGGAGAAAAGCCUGUCUGUCAAGAUGCCCUUCAUCCGAGGCCACAGCUUCAAGGUGGAGAUCAUAUGCGAAGCCCAGUGCUUCAGGGUGACUGUGGACGGCCAGCACCUGCUGGCAUACACCCACCGCAUUAAGAACCUGCCAUCCAUCAGUCACCUGGAAGUGCAUGGUGACAUUAUGCUUACAGAUGUGCAGAUCUAGGUGGAUGAAAGGGCCUGGGGAAGGGCAGGGGAGCUGUGUCCAUGUCUCCUCCCUGUCCUCUGCCCUUCUCAGUCCCACCUUCUGAGCCCUGCCAUCCUAGCAGGUGGUGCCCUGAAGUGUGCCACCCAGGGGACCCUCCAGGUCCAUUCCUCCUGGCAGUGAGGAGGACUGAGCCUUCCAUCACCAGCCCAGGCCCAUGCUGCAGAAGAUUCUCAAACACCUUCCUGUCCUCUGUGCAACCCACGCUAGCCCCAAGCCACAGCUAUGCAAUGGAGGGCGCAGGUGCCCUCCACAGCCCCCAUUCCUGGGACCUUCACCUCCUCUCCCGGCUUUCCCCCCGCUGCAACACUGCUCCCUGUGGGGAGGCUGCCUGGUGACAUCCUGCUGGCUUCCACCCACUGAGCGGAACUUUCUCUCCACUGUGCUCAGCUCUGCCCCUUCCUGGCAUCCUUAAAAUAAAGAAAAAGCCUUGCCUUUUGUCAUGCUCUCAUGA